rnacentral:lncRNA from 1 species
GGGGGCAUGGUCGUCGCGCGAGCCGGGCGCGUCCUCGUGCAAGACACGUGUGUCCUCGUGCAAGGGCGUUGUCGUGGAUCCUGGUGCGAGGCCUCGGGGUGUCUUUGUUGGUCCUCGUGCGAGGCACGUGCGUCCACGUGCACCCUGGUGCAAAACGCGUGUGUCCCAACGCGUCCUCGUGCGAGACCUCGUGCAAGGCGGUGGGGUCUCGUGUGGGCUCUGGGCGUCUUGGUGUGUCCUUGUGCGAGCUGUGAGCGUUCUUGUGUGCUGUUGUGUGAGCUAGACGUAGCUGGGUGUGGGUUCUGGGUGUCCUGGUGCAGCCUCGUGCAAGCUCUGGGUGUCCUCGUGCAUCCUUGUGUGAGUUGUGUGCAUCCAGGUGUGGGUUCUAGGUGUCCUCAUGCAUCCUCAUGCAAGUUCUGGGUGUCCUUGUGCAUCCUUGUGUGAGUUGUGUGUACCCAGGUGAGGGUUCUAGGUGUCCUUGUGCAUCCUCGUGCACCUUGUGUGAGUUGUGUGCAUCCAGGUGUGGAUUCUAGGUGUCCUGGUGCAUCCUCGUGCAAGUUCUGGGUGUCCCUGUGCACCUCGUGUCAGUUGUGUGCAUCCAGGUGUGGGGUCUGGGUGUCCUCGUGCAUUCUCGUGUGAACUCGUGCAUCCUUUGUAUGAGCUACGUGUAUAUGGGUGUGAGUUCUGCGUGUCCUGGUGCACCCUCUUGUGAGCUGUGUGCACCCUGGUGCAUCCUCGUGCGAGCUGGGUGCACCCGUAUGCAUUCUCUGGGUGCCGUGGUGCAUCCUCGUGUGAGCUGGUUGGCUCCUUGUGCAUCAUGGUGUGAACCAUGUCUGUCCUGGCAUGUCCUCGUGCAACCCGGGUGCAUCCUCAUGAACCCCUUGUGCAAACCGUGAUCCCUCUUGCCUGAUAAAGUUGUGGCACAUACCUCCUCGUGCGAGUCAGGAGGAUCCCUCGUGCAAGGCGGGCACGCCCACGUGCAAACCACACGUGCACGCCACACCCCCACCCUCGUGCAACCCUGGUGCGAGGGGCACGAGGCCGUGUGUUCCCACGCCAGCACGAGGAUCGCACGCUUUGGUGCUCCGGCGUGCGAUCCUCGUGCGAUCCUUGGGCCGCCAGCGCCGCACCGCGCUCAUUUGCAU